GACGAACGCUGGCGGCGUGCUUAACACAUGCAAGUCGAACGGAAAGGCCCUGCUUUUGUGGGGUGCUCGAGUGGCGAACGGGUGAGUAACACGUGAGUAAACUGUCCUUGACUUUGGGAUAACUUCAGGAAACUGGGGCUAAUACCGGAUAGGAGCUCCUGCUGCAUGGUGGGGGUUGGAAAGUUUCGGCGGUUGGGGAUGGACUCGCGGCUUAUCAGCUUGUUGGUGGGGUAGUGGCUUACCAAGGCUUUGACGGGUAGCCGGCCUGAGAGGGUGACCGGCCACAUUGGGACUGAGAUACGGCCCAGACUCCUACGGGAGGCAGCAGUGGGGAAUAUUGCACAAUGGGCGGAAGCCUGAUGCAGCAACGCCGCGUGCGGGAUGACGGCCUUCGGGUUGUAAACCGCUGUCGCCUGUGACGAAGCGUGAGUGACGGUAAUGGGUAAAGAAGCACCGGCUAACUACGUG
rnacentral:rRNA from 1 species